GACCGUCCCCCCAAAGUAAGGCCGAAGAUGACACGAGGCCGACGUCCAGCUCGUCUUAGGCCUCUGAGGCGCUCCAAAGGCUGACGGGGGUCAAGUCCGUUCCCGCUGGGGACAAGUGCAUCAGCUCCAGAACGACCUCUCACUUGCUUAGCCCUGCCCCGGGAGAUCAGAGUGACCCAACGCCCUGGGGUACCGGCUCCCGCCUCCCUGUCGUCGUCUUGUUGGGCCAAUCGUCUGGCUCUGGGUCGCUGCCCGGGCGCACGGGCUCAGGAAGGCAGCAGCUGCACGGGGUUCCCAUUCCACCUGGGACAGUACUGCAGUUUGUCACCUGCUUGGCUGGCCCCCUUAACAGUUGAAGCUAUGAAAGACUCAGCUACUCUAUCUCCUGGCUGAAGUCUCCAAGCUCCCCGAACACUGUGGUCCCUGAGGCUGUGAGACUCUCUUGCAAGUCAGCACCUGAGGAUCCCUGGUCCAAGCUUCAUUCCUCUGGGUCCAAGAACCUAGAAGAAAAGCCUGGAGCCACACACUCACCUGGGUGAAGCCAUAAGGAGGUCUUUUCAAGGCCUGACUAAACACCUAAGAGAAGCAACUUAAGGAAGAAAGGACUUAGUUGGAUAACGGCUCAGAGGGUCCACCACAUCAGGGAAGCCUGGUACCUGGAAUGAGUCAGACCACUGUGGCUGAAGCUUCCCACAUGAUGUGGACCACAAGAAAACAAACAAGAACAAGGAAAUCUGGCCUGUCACUCUCAAUGACUAUCACCAGUGACCCUCGGUGCCAGCCAUGCUUCCUACUACAAAGGUUCCACAACCUCCCAAAACAGGGGACCAAGGGUUCACACACAUGUGCCUAUAGAGGACACAUCACAGUCAACAUAAGAGUGGAACUGAGACGCAGAGUGGAAGCCAGAGGGAAGAACACUGAUCCUACAUCUUAAUAAAUGGCCAUAGAGGGACUGCCACUUGCUAUUAAGUAGCAUGUAAACCUCAGAGACUGUCUGUCACCUUGUGCUUUAAAGGCUGCUUUAAGUGACAAUGUUAAUGAUGUAUCUAGUGAUGACAGUUCAACGCGAAACAAAGCCCAGCCAUCAGAAGCUUAUUGAAUAUAAGUGUCUAGCACACCGCGAGCCACCCAGCAAUCUAAUUCGGAAAUGCAGAUGUGCCACGAAAGACACAGACAGUUCAUGACCUCACAUGGUGUCUCUGCAGGACCCUCACCUGUGUGGAUAUGACAGAGCAUGGGUCAUUUGGACUGCCGAAGGGUGUUGUUUUACUGGGGAGAUGGCUCAACCAGGAAAAUGCUGGCAGCCUAAGCCUGAGGACCUGAAUUAAGACCCCAGAGCUCAUGUUACAGGGAGUCUGGAGUGACAGUGCAUACUUGGCGUGCUGGUCCUGAGGAGUUGGAGACGAAGGCAUGCCCAGGGCUCCAGAGCCAGUCAGUUCUGUGAGCUCAAGCUCAAGGAGAGACCUUGUCAUAGAAAACAAGAUGGCGGCUCCUAAGGAAGGACGUUUGAGCUGAUCUCUGUACUCCACUCACACAUGCACACACACAGAGGUACACAUUUUAUUUUAGAACCCAUGUUCAUAAAGGAGAGUAGAGGUGGGUAAGUAUGAAGACAGCACAGAAAAUAGUUGAAGCUUUGAUGCAAUUAUUCAGCAGCUCCGACCUUUGACGGUUACACCUAGACUCGUGAUUUGACUUAAGUGGUUUUCUCUUUUAUGGAGAAAAGAGUUUUUGACUUCCUAUACAGUACCAGGUAAAUUAUGCCUUAGGUAAAAUAAUCUGUGUAUGGGAUGGUUGUAACUAACUAUAGAUCACUGUAAAUCCACCAAGCACAUCUGAGGUAGGGCAGGCUAAGCGGUGGUAUUCGGAAGGUUGGACAGGUUAUUAGUCUUUGGUUGGUCUAUUGGUGUGGAAUCCUAUCACGAGUUAAAGUUUCUUUAAGAGUAUAGCUAGCAACUAGAGUAACUCUUACACUCUGCACUGAGAAGUAGUACAGAAAGGGGUCCACGUACCAAAAAAAAUGUCCUUUAUUUUCUUCUUUUUGUAUUUAUUAUUAUUAUUAUUAUUAUUAUUAUUAUUAUUAUUAUUAUUUACUUUUUCACUUUACAUCCACUCACUGUGCCCUCCUGGUAACCUCCUCCCACAACCCUUCCCCUUAACCUUCCCCCUUUUCCUCUGGGGGGACCCCUCUGGGUAUCCCCCCACUCUGGCACAUCAAGUCUCUAUGAGGCUAGGUACAUCCUCUCCCACUGAAGCCUGACAAGGCACCCCAGCUAGAGGAACAUAACCCACAUACAGGCUACAACUCCCUGCUCCAGAUGUUCAGGACCCACAUGAAGACUAAGCUGCACAUCUGCUACAUAUGUGAGAGGGAGGGGCUAGGUCCAGCCAGUGUAUGCUCUUUGGUUUGUGGUUCAGUCUCAGAGAGUCCCAAGGGUCCAGGUUAGUUGACUCUAUUGGUCUUCCUGUGGCAUUCCUAUUCCCUUAGAGGCUGUAAUACUCUUUUUUUUCUCCCAGAAGAGUCCCCAAGCUCCAUCCACUGUUUGGCUGUGAGUGUCUGCAUCUGCCUGAGUCAGCUGCUGGGUGGAGUCUCUCAGAGGACAAACCAUGUUAUAAUCUUGUCUGCAAGCAUAACAGAUAUCAUUAACAGUGUCAGGGAUUGGUGCUUGCUCAUGGGAUGGAUCUCAAGUUGGGCCCAUUAUUGGUUGGCCAUUCCCUCAGUCUGCUCCAUCCUCCCAACCUCCCAACCCUUGUAGACAGGAUGAAUUUUGGGUUGAACGUUUUGUGGGUAGAAUGGUGUCUCUAUCGCUCUAUAGGGGGCCCUGCCAGGCUAUAAGAGGCGGCCUCUUCAGGUCCCAUAUCCCCAAUGCUGUCAGUCACAGCUAAGGACAUCCCCACUGAUUCUUGGGCACCUCUGUUAUCCCAGGUCUCUGUCUCUUCCUGGUGAUGACCCUUAUAUCUCCACUGCUGUCAGUUGCAGGUUUCCAUUCAUUCUCGUGGCCAUCUGGCCAUCCCUCGUUUCCAUCCCCACACCUGAUCCUGAACUUCCAUUCCCCUCCCCACUCCCUCUCCCUCCCAGUUCCCUCUCUUCAUUUGCCCUUAUGACCAUUUUAUUUCCUCUUCUAAGUAAGAUUCAAGCACUCUUGCUAAUGCUUCCCUUCUUGUUUAGCUUCUUUGGGUCUGCGGAGUGUAGCAUAGAAACACCGUAUUUUAUGGCUAAUAUCCACUUAUAAGUAAGUAUAUACCAUGGAUGUCAUUUUGGAACUGGGUUACCUCACCCAGGAUGACAUUUUCAAGAUCUAUCCAUUUGCCUGCAAAAUUCAUGAUGUCUUUGUUUUUCCUAACUGAAAAGUAUUCCACAUUUUCUGUAUCCAUUCUUUGGUUGAGGGACAUCUAAUUGUUUCCAGUUUCUGGCUGUUACAAAUAAAGCCGGUAUGAAC
rnacentral:lncRNA from 1 species